GUGGUGACCUAAUGGUUAGAGCGUCCGCCUCUGAUGCGGGUGGUCGCGGGUUCCAAACCCGGCCUAGUCA